rnacentral:tRNA from 1 species
GGAAGGUUGGCUGAGUGGUUUAAAGCAUCCGCUUGAUAAGCGGACGUACCUCUUGGGGUACCGCGGGUUCGAAUCCCGCACCUUAUA